CCGAUCUACCCUUUGGCGGGGGAUAACCAGGAAGAAAUCCUGGACUAAUACCGCAUAAGAAAAAAGGCUCUUAAGGCCUUUNUUGAAAGGAUGCUUCGGCAUUCACCGAAGGAUGAGCCUGCGGGACAUUAGCUUGAUGGUGGGGGAANUNGCCNACCAUGGCGACGAUGUCUAGCUGGNCUGAGAGGAUGAUCAGUCACACUGGAACUGAGACACGGUCCAGACUCAUACUUGNAGGCAGCAGNGGGGAAUAUUGCGCAAUGGGGGAAACCCUGACGCAGAACGCCGCNUGAGUGAGGAAGGCUUNCGGNUCGUNAAGCUCUGNCUGAUGGGAAGAACGGCACCUGGNCCAAUAGGCCUUGGGNUUGNCGGUACCNUCAACNGAAGCNCCGGCUAACU
rnacentral:rRNA from 1 species